rnacentral:tRNA from 1 species
GGUAGGAUCGGCAAGCUCGGGAUGCCGACUGUUUGAAAAACAGUUUAUCUGUGGCUCAGAUAUCGUGGGUUCAAAUCCCACUCCUACCA